GCGGAUGUGGCGGAACUGGCAGACGCGCUGGACUCAAAAUCCAGUUAUGGUGACAUAGUGUGGGUUCGAUUCCCACCAUCCGCAC
rnacentral:tRNA from 1 species